CUAAGAUGGCGGCUUCCUCCACUAGAAUGUUUGUGUUGUUCUUUUAUGCCUGGCUCAUUCCGACCCUUUCCUUCCUAUCAGUUCCUGAAACUGAGUGUGUUGCAUCUUCCUUGUAUCACACAGCCGAAAGUGGAAACAAUUCAAAUGUCCAACAACUGAUGGAAAGAUGAAGUGUGGUAUAUCCAUAUAAUGGAAUAAUACGCAGACAUAAAGUGGAAUGAUUGGCACAUGUUUACAACAUGGAUGAACCUUGACAACGCUAUGUUAAGUUAAAGAAGCCAGACACAAAAGGUGGAUUAUGGAAAUAUUUACAGAUAAGUGUACAUACAAGGGAUUGUCAACACUCUGGCAAUUGAAAAAUAACAGGAAUAACUGUUUUAUGACAAAUGGACCUGAACCCUAUGAAAUGAAUUUGCAAGCACUGGCACAGUUCACAUAUGCUACAAACAACCAUCUUCAGACAGUGUAGCCAACCAACUGUGCCAGACUUAAACUGAUGACCCUGAGGUGAAUCGUUCUAUUGUCACAACAUUUCUGGUCCUCAAGGCUCUCCAUGCUCUUAAACUCUUUUCUUUAAUAUUCUACAGUGUGUUUAUUUUCACGGCUAUAAAGUCAUACUCAGAUUUGCAAUGAUAUUUACUACCAUAUUUCAGAGUGUUUUAACUGAUGUUAGUUCAAAUCAAUUCUGGAGAAACUUUCCAGCCAAGGGAAUUGCAAGCUAGCUGGUUGACAUUGGAGGUCAAAUACUCCAGGGUAUGGGUCUCAAAUCACUUAAUUCUUCACAGCAAAUUAGAAACGGGACUCCAGCUGGUGCUAAAGAAUAAGACAGACUUGCUGUAUAAGGACAAGCUGCUGCUUGGAUUUCGAGUCUUUAUAUUCCUAAAAUAAAAAAUGUGAGACCCAAUUCCCACCCCCCAAUCUCAUUCUUUCAGAGUAAAAGAUUUCUUAACAACAGCAAAAAUCUGGCCACCUGAUUUCAAUACAUAAAUCUUGCCAAGGUAUAAAAAUAAAAUAUGAUUUAAACAGCAACCUGUAAUCUCCUGUUGACGACCAGCUGUGCCUCCUAUUAGUAUUAAUGGAAGUUACACAGGCAUAAUAAGAAGGAGGGGAAAAUGCCACCUUAUGCUUUUUGCACACCUUAACAUUUUUAUAGCAAGUCUGAUUACAAGGGUUUACUUGAGCGGCAAUUAAACAAUGAUUGAUUACUCAGUACAAUUUGUAUUCCAGGCGACAUGCAAAUGGCAAUGAAAUUCUCAGAUAAGGAAUGGAAUAAAUUCUUCUCACAUCAGAGAAUCACAUCUUUUUAACAGAAAACGUUUUCUUAUAUGGAGAUAAGAACUUCAGUAUAAGUUUCUUAAAUAAUACAUGUUUACCCAAAGACAAUAAGCCUUGAUUUGGAUUUAGAAAGGAAUGGUAAUGAUUUUUGCAAAUUGUACUUCCCACUUCACCUUUAGACUACAGCUCUCUUUCCAUGAUGACAAACCAUAUGGAUGGAAAGUAUAAUAUUCACUCACAAAUAUAUUGACUUUGACUAUAGUCACAACUAUAAACAAUAUUUUUCAUCAUAUUUUGACAUUGCAGAAAUAAUAUCUACUUUUAAAUUGAAAGUGAAGUGAAAGGUUUAUUAAGUGUCUAUCAUGUGCCAGGCACCAUUCUAGGUGUAGGCAACACAGCAAAGAACACACAAUACUCAUGUUAGAGAGGAAGAAGCUGACAAUAAACAAGUAUACAGAUAUAGAUACAAAGUCAGUGUAUAUAAAAUAAAGAAAAUUAUCAGAGAAACUGAUGGGCAUUGAUGUGUAUGUGUACCUAUUCAUAUUCAGGGGAAAAUGAUGGAAAGGGAAGUCAAUGACUUUACGCUUGCUUUUUCCUACUUAAGGAAUAUCUUGAUCCAACAUCAUUGAAUAGUUGUCUGCUCUGUACCAUUUUGAUAUUCAUCCAAGUACAAAGAAUAGAAAGAGCUUAGAAUUAAUAUGCUGGAUAAAUGGUAAAGCCACAGUGGCUGAUGUGGUAUAAGCUGGAGUAAAAUGGAGAUGACAUGAGAUCACAGAUACACAGAGGUAUAGUCAUUGUACGCCAAUCUAAGUAAUGUGUGCUUUACUUUAAUUUUAAUGAGAAUCCAUUGAUAGGUUAACAGGGGAGUGUUAUGAUGUAAAUAUGUUUUUCAACCAUCAAUCUAAUUGCUGUAUGUAUGUUAUGGGAUAUAAUAGAAAUGUGACCUACCUUGAAAUCUGCAUUUUUCUUGAAGAACUGGCUAAUAUAUUACCAUUUUCACUUAUUGAAAAUUUAAUGUAAAAGAGAAAUUGCAGUUAAUAUCUUAUAGUCAGGUAUGUUUAAAAAUAAAAAUCAGAAAUCGCUCCUGCUUUAAGGUACUAUUAUCAUAAAAGGCAGGGAUAUGUAAAAGGAAAGAGAAGAAAAAGUUAUGAUGUCUAUAAAAACAAAAUAUUAGAAAAGACUAUUAAGGAUCACAUUGUCCAUCAGCUUGCUUUUUGCAGCUGGGGUAAAUGGCGGUUUAUGUUCUUUGUUCAGAUUUCCAGGAUAAAGACUUCAUAUCAUCCCUGGUAGUCCAUGCUAAUAUUUUAUCUUUGACAUAAAGAAGUUAUUUUUUAUAUCCAAUUACAUUGUCUCAAUUUAUUAAACCUAUUUCAUGACCUGAUGUCAAAAUAGAAAACAACUGCUCACUAUUCUGAUAAAAACUAUUUCAAUACAAUAAUUUAUUCAAGCUUAGCCAGCUUUGUCUUCUCUAAGCUAAAGAAUCUGAAACUCUUUAAUCAUUCCCUAUUUUAUCACUUUAGUCAAAUUUUUCUUAUGCCCAGAACAAUCUACUUUAAAGUAUGAAUUGCUUCUUGUAUCAAAGCACAUACAAGUUGAUUAGAAAUUUAUGUUCUAUGUUUAGCAAUUUUGCUUAGUUAAAAUGAUGAGAGGAAGAUGACAAAGUAUUUAACACAUUAUAUUUCUGUCAAAAUCUGUGAUACAACUCAUCACCUAGGCAUGGAUUUACUAUGCGUAACAACUACAACUGUACAUAUUUAGGAUGUGGAUGAUAUAUGUAACAUAUUUAGUCAUAUAUAAUAGGUAUAUACAUAUGUUUGUUUCUUACUGUAACAAGGAAAAACCAUGAAAUAGAUAUUAUCAUUCUUUAAUCAGGAUUCUCAUAGGUCACAGAUUAGACUAGAAUAGAAUAGCAAAAUAGAAAAAUUCUGUAAGGGAACAUAUUACUCUAUUUCAAGGCAAACAUGUAAAAUAGAAGGUAUUGAGUGAAGGAGUCCUGGGCAAGAAUCCAAGAUCUACCACCCAUUAGUCUUGUGAAGAUACAGCAUUAACAUUGUGAGGCCUCAAUUUUCUUAACUAUAUGAUAAUUAAUAUACAAAGUCUAAUAAAUUGCUUAGCAAAAUAGGAACUCUAAAUGUUAGUUCCAUGAAUAAAACCAAAAUAAAAUCCAUUUGGACGUUUAUAAAACCCAAAAAUGCUCUUUGUAAGUAUACUGCAUUCAAAAUAAAUAAAUAAAAUUCACGAUAUUGUGGUGGUGUUUCAAUAACUCCUACCUACCACCCCCAAGAAAGAAAUUAGGUAUCAGAAACUCCAAUAAAAUACAUAAGUGUCAGUUUCUAUAUUUUUAAAUUCAGAUUAUUGUGGUAAUUAAAUCAAAGAUUAUGUGUAAUGUCCUGGGCAUACAGUAGAUGAUCAAUAAAGUCAGCUAUUUUUAUUAGCUCUAAGUAAAAUUAAUGAUUAAGCAUGCGUGGUUCAACAGAGGAUGCAACACAGCAAUCAAUGGUAGUUAAAGCUAAUACAGAUGGGAAGGUGGCUCUGUCCAUAUACUCUAGUCAUUCAUUAUCCAGGAACAACAAGUGUGGGCCAGGAAAAUCUUUCCCUAGAACAAUAGUGGAUGCCAAGAUCCUAACCACUCAAUACAAUCUCUCAGAAAGAAACAUUUGGUGGCCUUUAAAUAGAAAGUAUCAUGCCAAAAGAAUGUUUUUGGUUCUACACUUUUUAAUCUCCAAAUUGAAAAUAGUUAAGUUGAAAAAUGUUUCUCAAUGGAAAGAUGUAUUAUAUUCUUCAGGGGGUCAAAGUCAAUCUUGAAAUAUGUUAAUGCUGUUAUAUCCUAAUGUGCUGCUGGUUUGGAAGAUGGGCAAAAAAAAAUAAAAAAAUUUAUAAAGCCUUUAAGAAACAAACGUGUGUGUGUGACACAGA